rnacentral:rRNA from 1 species
UGCAGUCGACGAUGAGCCCUUCGGGGUGGAUUAGUGGCGAACGGGUGAGUAACACGUGGGCAAUCUGCCCUUCACUCUGGGACAAGCCCUGGAAACGGGGUCUAAUACCGGAUAUCACUCUCGCAGGCAUCUGUGAGGGUCGAAAGCUCCGGCGGUGAAGGAUGAGCCCGCGGCCUAUCAGCUUGUUGGUGAGGUAACGGCUCACCAAGGCGACGACGGGUAGCCGGCCUGAGAGGGCGACCGGCCACACUGGGACUGAGACACGGCCCAGACUCCUACGGGAGGCAGCAGUGGGGAAUAUUGCACAAUGGGCGAAAGCCUGAUGCAGCGACGCCGCGUGAGGGAUGACGGCCUUCGGGUUGUAAACCUCUUUCAGCAGGGAAGAAGCGAAAGUGACGGUACCUGCAGAAGAAGCGCCGGCUAACUACGUGCCAGCAGCCGCGGUAAUACGUAGGGCGCAAGCGUUGUCCGGAAUUAUUGGGCGUAAAGAGCUCGUAGGCGGUCUGUCACGUCGGAUGUG